AUAUGCAUCAAAAUCACCCAUGGAAAGCUAAGCAGGGUCGGGCCUGGUUAGUACUUGGAUGAGAGACCACCUAGGAAGACCAGGUGCUUUCUUUU
rnacentral:rRNA from 1 species